rnacentral:lncRNA from 13 species
AGGCUCAGAUAAAGAAAGAGAAUACGACGGAGGAUGUCGAGGCAUAUAGCAAACCUGGUGCUAACUCAAUGGCUAUGUCCAGCAGCAAUAUACCAACAGGUACGUCGAAACUGUAGUCCGCCUCCCCUCACCUUCACGCUGUACCUUUGCCCCCCCCCCCCCCCUCCUCUAUCGCCUCCAUUUCUCCUUCCCUCUCUUCCCUUCUCUGCUUAUGGCCUUUUUGAAUGUACUUUCAGUGCAUCUCUUUUGCUAUAGUUGCCUCUUUUAUAACUAGCUAUGUUACAAUAUAUUAUUACUAGGAAUCAUGAGCCACUAUUGUACAUUUUCCUGCAGGGAGUGAAGAAGACGGUGGUCGAGCCAGCCACAUGAAAGAAGAGAAUACGGACGAUGACCGAGAUUAUGCCAGAGGGAAUGGAGAGAGGGAGAGGGAGAUAAAGAAGGAGAGUGGGACGCCUGAACCAGAGGAGUCCAGGGAGGCAGAGGAUUGGCCCCAUGAGGGCCACAACAAAGGGGACAGUGGCAAUGGGGGCCACAGCAAAGAGGCUGGACCGAGGGAACCUCUCCACCCUACCACAGGACUGGACCCUCCUCCACCUCCCCCACAGACUGACAGGGACACGCCCCCCUCAGCCAAGAAGACCAAAUUCCGCCCCCCGCCGCUCAAAAAGCCCUCAGACGCCAUUGAAAAGUGAGUGACAGGGAUGGGGGGAUGGGUGCAAUGGGAGGAUAUGAAAACACAUCACCAUCACGUUGCUUCUCUCUGUGGUCACUAUGUGGUACAUUUUUGACAGUUGACAGUUAAGACCAAGUGGAGAAGAAUUUGUAGCCAGGGAAUCAGUUGGUUGGAGCUUGGUGCUUACAUCACUAGCGUUGAGGGUUCCAUCCAGACCCGGCGACAGGAUAACGUGACUAAGGGGGCAGUUGAAAUUGGCAUUUU